rnacentral:rRNA from 1 species
GACGAACGCUGGCGGCGUGCCUAAUACAUGCAAGUUGAGCGCUGAAGGUUGGUACUUGUACCGACUGGCUGAGCAGCGAACGGGUGAGUAACGCGUGGGGAAUCUGCCUUUGAGCGGGGGACAACAUUUGGAAACGAAUGCUAAUACCGCAUAAAAACUUUAAACACAAGUUUUAAGUUUGAAAGAUGCAAUUGCAUCACUCAAAGAUGAUCCCGCGUUGUAUUAGCUAGUUGGUGAGGUAAAGGCUCACCAAGGCGAUGAUACAUAGCCGACCUGAGAGGGUGAUCGGCCACAUUGGGACUGAGACACGGCCCAAACGCCUACGGGAGGCAGCAGUAGGGAAUCUUCGGCAAUGGACGAAAGUCUGACCGAGCAACGCCGCGUGAGUGAAGAAGGUUUUCGGAUCGUAAAACUCGGUUGGUAGAGAAGAACGUUGGUGAGAGUGGAAAGCUCAUCAAGUGACGGUAACUACCCAGAAAGGGACGGCUAACUACGUG